rnacentral:rRNA from 1 species
AUCAAAAACAUGGUUUUUUGAAUAAGAUUUAAGAUCAGAUCUGCUCUAUGAGGAUUUAAAUGGCUGCGGUAUUCCUGACUGUACUAAGGUAGCAUAAUAAAUAGUUUAUUAAUUGUGAACUGGAAUGAAUGAUUUAAUAAGAUAUAAACUGUAUCAAUUUAAAUUUUAAAAUUUUAUUUUUAAGUAAAAAAGCUUAAAUGAAUUUGGGGGACGAGAAGACCCUAUAGAUUUUUAUAAUGGAUUAAAAGUUAAAUUUAUUUUUUUUUUAUUUUUGAGUAUAUUAUUUGGAUGGGGAAUCCUAGAAAUUGGGGAAAAUUUUUUAAUUUUGAACAUUUUAGAUGAAUUUAAAGAAUAAGGAGAUUUAUUGAAGAUAAAGAUACCUUAGGGAUAACAGCAUAAUAUAAUUAUUUAGAUCUUAUAAAUAAUAGUGAUUGUGACCUCGAUGUUG